UAUAUAUUGCUUGGAGCCAAGUGUCUCUCCGAAACCUCUCUGCUCUCUCUCUCUCUCCCACUUCUGCCCAAACACCUGUGUUCAACUCCCUCUCUACACGUUCUCUCUCAGUGGAUUUGAGGUUUUGAUUUUCGCCCUAAUGACAGUGAUUUUCUUCGCAAGUAGACCAAUUUUUAUUUUUACAAAAUUCUACUGCACCGCCGCUGCUCAUCAUCAUCGUCAGUCUACUGCUACCAUUGAAGAGGAAGAUCAACAAAGAGCAAAAACCCAAUUCAGCAUCGACAGCAAGCAUCUUUUGCAGUUGGAUUCCCAACUUUUGUGUUUGUGUGCUCUCAUCCAAUACUUCUCUCCAUUUUUCUAUUUGUGUGCUCUCAUCCAACCACAUCAUCGCUGUACCGCUGUUCAAUCAACACGACCACCAGCUGCUCUUCUCAGGGAAGAGUGGCAAUGGGUUGGCUUCCCAUGAGCAAAUUAAAUGGAUUCAAAAGUUGUAAAGAGGAUGCAUUUGUCUAUUCUCUCUCAAAUUGCCCCCUCUAUGAAACAGGUACAUAUGCAUUGGCUUGAAGUAAUGUUUGAUUAGCUCAUAAAAAGUUGUUGCGAUUUUGUUUGCUGCAAUGGUUGAUUAGUUGUAAAGAGCAUGCAUUUGUCUAUUCUCUCUCAAAUUGGCCCCUCUAUGAAACACGUACAUAUGCAUUGGCCUGAAAUAGUAUUUGAUUAGCUCAUAAAAAGUUGUUGCGAUUUUGUUUGCUGCAAUGGUUGAUUAGGUUCAUAUGCAUUGGCUUGAAGUAGUGUUUGGUUAGCUCAUAAAAAGUUGUUGCGAUUUUGUUUGCUACAAUGGUUGAUUAGGUGCUGGUGAGAUGCCUCCGCCAAGGCAAUAGCUUAGGAGGGAAAGGAGCUGAAGGCUUCUCUUUUUGUAUCGUGCUAAUUGUUUUAAUUCUAGCCAAGGGCUUUAUAUGUAUUGGAUUUAUAUCCAUUUUGUUGCAACCAAGCACGGCCUUGGAAAAAUAUAAGCCAUUAGGGCAUGUGUAGAUCUGUUAACUUUCGUUUCUUUAUCACUUGUAACACAUGCUAUAGAUUUAGGAUUAGCCAUUUAUGAAUGUAUAUUGCAUGUGUCACCUUUUGUAUACGGACUCUGAUGAAUGAAAGUAUAUUGCUUUUAUUA